rfam:Betaproteobacteria bacterium RIFCSPLOWO2_02_FTLL_67_19 rifcsplowo2_02_scaffold_39811, whole genome shotgun sequence.
UCCCCGAUAGCUCAGUUGGUAGAGCGACGGACUGUUAAUCCGCAGGUCCCAGGUUCGAGCCCUGGUCGGGGAG